GACGAACGCUGGCGGCGUGCCUAAUACAUGCAAGUAGAACGCUGAAGGAGGAGCUUGCUUCUCUGGAUGAGUUGCGAACGGGUGAGUAACGCGUAGGUAACCUGCCUGGUAGCGGGGGAUAACUAUUGGAAACGAUAGCUAAUACCGCAUAAGAGUAGAUGUUGCAUGACAUUUGCUUAAAAGGUGCAAUUGCAUCACUACCAGAUGGACCUGCGUUGGAUUAGCUAGUUGGUGGGGUAACGGCUCACCAAGGCGACGAUACAUAGCCGACCUGAGAGGGUGAUCGGCCACACUGGGACUGAGACACGGCCCAGACUCCUACGGGAGGCAGCAGUAGGGAAUCUUCGGCAAUGGACAGAAGUCUGACCGAGCAACGCCGCGUGAGUGAAGAAGGUUGUCGGAUCGUAAAGCUCUGUUGUAAGAGAAGAACGAGUGUGAGAGUGGAAAGUUCACACUGUGACGGCAUCUUACCAGAAAGGGACGGCUAACUACGUG
rnacentral:rRNA from 1 species